rnacentral:rRNA from 1 species
CCUGGCGCGUGCUUACCAUGCAAGUCGAACGGAGAUUCAGCAAUGGAUCUUAGUGGCGAACGGGUGAGUAACGCGUAGGCAAUCUGCCUUCUAGAUGGGGACAACAUCCCGAAAGGGGUGCUAAUACCGAAUGUUGUAAUUGGUUCGCAUGGACUAGCUACUAAAGGUGGCCUCUGAAUAUGCUACCGCUAGAAGAUGAGCCUGCGUCUGAUUAGCUAGUUGGAGGGGUAACGGCCCACCAAGGCUUCGAUCAGUAGCCGGUCUGAGAGGAUGAACGGCCACACUGGGACUGAGACACGGCCCAGACUCCUACGGGAGGCAGCAGUGGGGAAUCUUCCGCAAUGGACGAAAGUCUGACGGAGCAACGCCGCGUGAGUGAAGAAGGUUUUCGGAUCGUAAAGCUCUUUCGUUAGGGACGAACGUGCUCUUUGUGAAUAAUGAGGAGUAUUGACGGUACCUAAAUAAGAAGCCACGGCUAACUACGUGCCAGCAGCCGCGGUAAUACGUAGGUGGCAAGCGUUGUCCGGAAUUAUUGGGCGUAAAGCGCGCGCAGGCGGGAUAUCAAGUCUGUCUUAAAAGUGCGAGGCUCAACCUCGUGAGGGGACGGAAACUGGUAUUCUUGAGUGUCGGAGAGGAAAGUGGAAUUCCAAGUGUAGCGGUGAAAUGCGUAGAGAUUUGGAAGAACACCAGUGGCGAAGGCGACUUUCUGGACGAUGUCUGACGCUGAGGCGCGAAAGCUAGGGGAGCGAACGGGAUUAGAUACCCCGGUAGUCCUAGCCGUAACGAUGGGUACUAGUGUAGGGGUAUCGACCCCUCCUGU